rnacentral:sRNA from 1 species
UUUUAGAUGAUUAUCGUCUCUCAUAAUCUAUACAGAUUUAUGAGAGACGAUAAUCAUCUAAAA